UACGUAGGGUGCAAGCGUUGUCCGGAAUUAUUUGGGCGUAAAGAGCUCGUAGGCGGUCUGUCGCGUCGGCUGUGAAAACUCGGGGCUCAACCCCGAGCCUGCAGUCGAUACGGGCAGACUAGAGUGCGGUAGGGGAGACUGGAAUUCCUGGUGUAGCGGUGAAAUGCGCAGAUAUCAGGAGGAACACCGGUGGCGAAGGCGGGUCUCUGGGCCGUAACUGACGCUGAGGAGCGAAAGCGUGGGGAGCAAACAGG
rnacentral:rRNA from 1 species